GUUGAGGCAUCUAGUGAGGUAACGCCACCGAUCCAGGAGAAGCUGACGGGAGCUCUGUGGAGAGUUCUCUUUUCUUUAUGAAGGGCAGGGCGCCCUGGAAUGGCUUAGCCCCCCAAGCAUUGGAAAGCGUUGUGGUUCCGGUGGUGUCCAGUGAGCUCUCACUGGAUCUUGAAAAUCCGGGGAAGAGGCUGUAAAUCUUAC
rnacentral:ncRNA from 1 species